rnacentral:rRNA from 1 species
CUACGAGCUGCUGCAGUGAGGAAUAUUGCACAAUGGGGGGAACCCUGAUGCAGCAACGCUGCGUGGAGGAUGACGCAUUUCGGUGUGUAAACUCCUUUUAUAUGUCAAGAAAAUGACGGUAGCAUAUGAAUAAGCACCGGCUAACUCCGUGCCAGCAGCCGCGGUAAUACGGAGGGUGCAAGCGUUACUCGGAAUCACUGGGCGUAAAGGACGCGUAGGCGGGUUGGAAAGUCAGGUGUGAAAUCCUACAGCUUAACUGUAGAACUGCACUUGAAACUUCUAAUCUAGAGUAUGGGAGGGGGAGAUGGAAUUAGUGGUGUAGGGGUAAAAUCCGUAGAUAUCACUAGGAAUACCUAAAGCGAAGGCGAUCUCCUGGAACAUUACUGACGCUAAGGCGUGAAAGCGUGGGGAGCAAACAGGAUUAGAUACCCCGGUAGUC